rnacentral:snRNA from 15 species
GUCAAAGCACUUUGCAAAAGCUAACGUAUCUGUUUCUUGCCUUUUACCAGAAACAGCCGUUUGUAAGGUGUGCUAAUUUGACUGUAUAGUUUUUGUAAUCUUUUUCUUGAAACAU